AGGGGCAUAGUUUAAAGGUAGAACUGAGGUCUCCAAAACCUCCAGUGUGGGUUCGAUUCCUACUGCCCCUGCCAAAU
rnacentral:tRNA from 4 species